CAGCAGCCGCGGGAAUACGAGGGGAGCUAGCGUUGUUCGGAAUUACUGGGCGUAAAGCGCGCGUAGGCGGCUUUUUAAGUCAGGGGUGAAAUCCCGAGGCUCAACCUCGGAACUGCCUUUGAUACUGGAGAUCUUGAGUUCGGAAGAGGUUGGUGGAACAGCUAGUGUAGAGGUGAAAUUCAUAGAUAUUAGCUAGAACAUCAGUGGCGAAGGCGGCCAACUGGUCCGAUACUGACGCUGAGGUGCGAAAGCGUGGGGAGCAAACAGGAUUAGAUACCCCCGUAGUCCCUGUCUCUUAUAC
rnacentral:rRNA from 1 species